GCCUGAUGCAGCGACGCCGCGUGAGGGAUGACGGCCUUCGGGUUGUAAACCUCUUUCAGCAGGGAAGAAGCGAAAGUGACGGUACCUGCAGAAGAAGCACCGGCUAACUACGUGCCAGCAGCCGCGGUAAUACGUAGGGUGCGAGCGUUGUCCGGAAUUAUUGGGCGUAAAGAGCUUGUAGGCGGUUUGUCGCGUCUGCUGUGAAAAUCCGGGGCUCAACCCCGGACUUGCAGUGGGUACGGGCAGACUAGAGUGUGGUAGGGGAGACUGGAAUUCCUGGUGUAGCGGUGAAAUGCGCAGAUAUCAGGAGGAACACCGAUGGCGAAGGCAGGUCUCUGGGCCACUACUGACGCUGAGAAGCGAAAGCAUGGGGAGCGAACAGGAUUAGAUACCCUGGUAGUCCAUGCCGUAAACGUUGGGCGCUAGGUGUGGGACUCAUUCCACGAGUUCCGUGCCGCAGCUAACGCAUUAAGCGCCCCGCCUGGGGAGUACGGCCGCAAGGCUAAAACUCAAAGGAA
rnacentral:rRNA from 1 species